UCCAACCCAAAUGGUGGAACGUUACCAAACUGUUGCCUCGGCGGGAUCUCUGCCCCGGGUGCGUCGCAGCCCCGGACCAAGGCGCCCGCCGGAGGACCAACCAAAACUCUUAUUGUAUACCCCCUCGCGGGUUUUUUUACUAUCUGAGCCAUCUCGGCGCCCCUCGUGGGCGUUUCGAAAAUGAAUCAAAACUUUCAACAACGGAUCUCUUGGUUCUGGCAUCGAUGAAGAACGCAGCGAAAUGCGAUAAGUAAUGUGAAUUGCAGAAUUCAGUGAAUCAUCGAAUCUUUGAACGCACAUUGCGCCCGCCAGUAUUCUGGCGGGCAUGCCUGUCCGAGCGUCAUUUCAACCCUCGAACCCCUCCGGGGGGUCGGCGUUGGGGAUCGGCCCUUUACGGGGCCGGCCCCGAAAUACAGUGGCGGUCUCGCCGCAGCCUCUCCUGCGCAGUAGUUUGCACACUCGCAUCGGGAGCGCGGCGCGUCCACAGCCGUUAAACACCCCAAACUUCUGAAAUGUGACCUCGGAUCAGGUAGGAAUACCCGCUGAACUUAAGCAUAU
rnacentral:rRNA from 1 species